rnacentral:piRNA from 1 species
UACUUCUCCAAGAUUAACAGAACAUU